rnacentral:lncRNA from 1 species
AUGUGUGUCCAUGUCCCUGUGUGUCCCUGUCCCUGCACAUCCCUUUCCAUGUGUGUCCCUGUCCAUGUGUGUCCAUGUCCCUGUGUGUCCAUGUCCCUGCAUAUCCCUUUCCAUGUGUGUCCAUGUCCAUGUCCCUUUCCAUGUGUAUCUCUGUCCCUGUGUGUCUCUGUCCCUGUGUGUCCCAGUCCACACGUUCUUCUCCCUGCGUGUCCCUCUGCAAACCCCUGCGUGUCUCUCUGCAAACCUGUCCUUCUCCAUGUGUCCCUCUCCAUGUGUCCCUCUCCAUGUGUCCCUGUAUGUCCCAGUCCAUGUGUGUCUCUCUCCAUGCAUGCCCUUCUUCCUUGUGUCCCUUUCCAUGUGUGUUCCUGUCCAUGUCCCUAUCCCUUCGUGUCCCUGUCCCUGCGUGUCCCUCUCCACACCUGCCCUUCUCCACGUGUGUCCCUCUCCAUGUGUGUCCCUAUCCAUCUGUAUGUCCCUGUGUGUCCCUUUCCAUGCGUGUCCCUGCCCCUGUGUGUCCCUGUCCAUGUCCCUCUCGUGUCCCUCCCCAUGCGUGUCUCUUGUCUCUGUCUCUGUCCCUCUCUCUACGAGUCCCUGUCCCCGCGUGUCCCUGCUCGUUGUGGCCAUUCCCAGACCCGCAAUUCCAGCCGGGCAGGGCGCUCCGUGUGCCCGUUCCCAGCCAGGAAAGGCGCUCCCGGUGCCCAUUCCCGGCCCCGCAGUUCAUUCCCGGCCGGGCAGGGCGCUCCCGGUGCCCAUUCCCGGCCCCGCAGUUCAUUCCCGGCCGGGCAGGGCGGUCCCGGUGCCCAUUCCCGGCCCCGCAGUUCAUUCCCGGCCGGGCAGGGCGCUCCCGGUGCCCAUUCCCGGCCCCGCAGUUCAUUCCCGGCCGGGCAGGGCGGUCCCGGUGCCCAUUCCCGGCCCCGCAGUUCAUUCCCGGCCGGGCAGGGCGGUCCCGGUGCCCAUUCCCGGCCCCGCAGUUCAUUCCCGGCCGGGCAGGGCGGUCCCGGUGCCCAUUCCCGGCCCCGCAGUUCAUUCCCGGCCGGGCAGGGCGGUCCCGGUGCCCAUUCCCGGCCCCGCAGUUCAUUCCCGGCCGGGCAGGGCGGUCCCGGUGCCCAUUCCCGGCCCCGCAGUUCAUUCCCGGCCGGGCAGGGCGGUCCCGGUGCCGCAGCGGCCGGAGGCGGCGGGAGGGGCGGCACCGCCGCUUCCCCGGAGCUUUCGCUUUCGUUUCCUUGUCGGGCCUGCUCACUCCGGGCCCUUCCCGGUGAGAUCCCCUUCCCUGUAGGAUCUCCAUCCCUCUGGGAUCGCCAUCCCGGUGGAUCCCGUCCCUUGGAGCAGCGGCCAUGGUAA